rnacentral:rRNA from 1 species
AGUGAACGCUGGCGGUAGGCCUAACACAUGCAAGUCGAACGGCAGCACAGUAAGAGCUUGCUCUUACGGGUGGCGAGUGGCGGACGGGUGAGGAAUACAUCGGAAUCUACUUUUUCGUGGGGGAUAACGUAGGGAAACUUACGCUAAUACCGCAUACGACCUACGGGUGAAAGCAGGGGAUCUUCGGACCUUGCGCGAUUGAAUGAGCCGAUGUCGGAUUAGCUAGUUGGCGGGGUAAAGGCCCACCAAGGCGACGAUCCGUAGCUGGUCUGAGAGGAUGAUCCGGCACAAUGGAAAUGGGGACCGGUCCCGACUCCUAAGGGAGGCAGCAGUGGGGAAUAUUGGAAAAUGGGCGGAAGCCUGAUCCAGCCAUACCGCGGGGGUGAAGAAGGCCUUCGGGUUGGAAAGCCCCUUUGUUGGGAAAGAAAAGCCGGCGGUUUAAACCCCGCUGGUCUGACGGUACCCAAAGAAAAAGCACCGGCUAACUUCGUG